AUGGGCAGGAGCAAGGGCAAAGCGCCCCAGCGCCCGGAGGGACCCGGGAGGCCCCCCUCGGGGGAGCAGGAAUCUGGGUCUGCCAGCACAGACAGCGUGCCCAGCCGGGAACACCGAAAGGGCCACCAUAAGGCCCACAGGGAGCCCAGCGCCAGGCGAGGCCAGGAGCCCCCCGGUGCCCACAGGAAGCCCACUGUAGGGAAGAACAGGGACUACAGACAAGCAGAGGCAGGGCCGCCGCCAGACGCCAAGGGGAGAGGAGGCAGCGGGCAUGCCCGUGGGGGAUGCUGGGCUAAGGAGAGGGGCAAGCGGGGGGACGGCCACGGGGGGCACCUGGAGGAGAAGGGUCUCCAAGGAGGAGGAAGGACACGCGAGCACGACCGCGGCAGAAGGAGAGGAAAACAACGGGGACGCUCGGCUCAGCGGGGCCGCCAAGAGACACAGAGCCUCGACGGGGACACAUCGGGGGGAGACAGGGCCAGCUCCUGCCUGGACAGCGAAGCCCACGAGGCCCAGGAGAGCCACAGCCAAGGUGGUGGGACCCCAGAGCGGAGGCCCAACUUGGAGCAAACGGACAUGGGCUCGGGGGGCACUCAAACCAGCGCAGAGUCAGCGCUGGAGGCGCCAGGAGCUCCCCAGAAGAGCGACAGCCCAAGCAGCAGCGACGGCAGAGGCAGUGACAAGCCCCCCUCGCAGCCCCAGAGCCCAGAAGGAUCGUCGGGGGCGAGGACCCAGGGAGAGACCGAGGAUUCCGGGACAGACCCAGACUCGAGUCAGGAGGGGGCCGGGCCGUGCCGGAGCCCAGGAGCAGCCCCAGGAACGACCCGCGGGGCCCCUGAGGCCAGCGAGGCUGACCCGAACAGAAAAGCCGCAGCUUCCAGCCCCCUCGAGGGCAGCCCCGCCUGCAUCCCCCGGAGCUCGUGGGGUUCUCAGGACCCCAGGCAGGGCGGGGAUGCAAGAGACGAUGGGGUGCAGCCCGAAGCUGAGCCGAGGGGCGCCCCGCCCGAAAGAGCCGAGGUCUCGACCGCUCGGGGUCAGCGCCGCCAGAUUGGAAAGGUGAUGGGGAAGGCGCACGAGGCGGUGGGCGUGAGCAACGAGGGGUCUGGGGGAGACGGGCCGCGGGCCCCAGCGCCGCUGGCCGCCCUAGUGGCGCUCCGCAGGCUCCGCGCGAGGCCCCCGCCGGAACCCGCUCCCCAGGCCGCCGGGCCCCGCCGCGGCAGCCUCAAGGACCGGCUCGUGCGCGUAGCGCGGGCCCUGGGGCUCCUGCGGUGGCUGCGGCUGCGGCUCCAGCGGCGCGCGGGCGGCGCGCGGGGCCCCGGGACCAGCGAGGGGACGAGCCGCGGGCAGGGGCCGCGCCGCCGCCGUCUAGCGCUGAGCCUGGCGGGCGUCGCGGGGCUGUGGGGGCGACCAAGGCCUCCCCCUGGCGGCGGCCCGAGUUCCCCGCAGGUUGCAGAAAGCCCAGCUCACGACCCAUCGGAGGACGAGGACCCGACUCCAGAUCCCAAGUUCGCCGUUGUGUUCCCCAGGAGCUCAGAGGAAGGGUCCGCGGACGCCCCCGCCGGGGAGGGGCGCGAUUGGUCCUGUGCUGGGGCGUCUGCGGACAGUGCAGGGCGCAGGGCCAGUGUAGAAGGGGUGGCGGAGUCCCCCCGCGGCUCUCUCGGCCCGAAUCCCCACGAAGAGCCCCCAGUCGACGAGAGCGGCUCCAGCAGCGAAGCGGAGCCCGAGACCUUGGGAGCCGCGGCUCCGGUGCAUUGGGCAGAGGGCUCGGACCCUCACAAGGACCCCAGGCUUGGCACCGAAGCACUGCUGCCCCGACUCACCUUGGAGACCCGCCUGCUGCCGGAGGGAAGCCCCGGCCCCCGCGGGUCCUUGAGGGAUCGGUGGGAGCCAGAGGACGAGGUGGAGGAGGCGCUGGAGAGGGACCUGGAGCUGAGUCUCGUGCCCGGCCCGGAGGAGCCUCCUUUUCCCAGCGGCGCCGACGGCUGGACCGUGGGGGAAGGCCUGGAAGACACCGAGGACCUGGCCCGGCUGCGGCCAGUGUGCGACAGCUCCGUGCUGCUGUGUCUGAAGAAGAGGUUUCACCUGGGCCGAAUCUACACGUUCGGGGGGCCCCUCCUGCUCGCUCUGAACCCCCGCCGGGCCCUGCCUCUCUACGCACCUGAGGUCCUGGCCAGCUACCGCCCUGGGAAGACCCCCAACACCACCCCACACAUCUUUGCCGUUGUGGCAUCGGCGUAUAGCCUGUCUGAAAGCACUGGGCAGGCCACCUGCAUCCUUCUGGGUGGGCACAGCGGCUCUGGGAAGACAGAGGCAGCCAAAAAGAUGGUGCAGUUCCUACACAGCCUGGAGUGGGAGCAAAGGGAGAGAGGGUGUCGGGAGAGUGGUCUUCAGGCCUCUGGCUUCUCCUCGGAGGCAGCCCCAGGCAUGGCCUACUGCGGGGCAGGGUGGGCUGGGGAGACCGACCCCUCUGUGGGCCGACAGAGCCCCCACCUGGACACCGUGCUGCCCCUGCUCAGCAGUUUUGGCCAUGCCAAGACAGUCCUCAACGCCAAUGCCAGCCGCUUCGGCCAGGUCCUGGGCCUCUGCCUGCAGCAUGGGCCCUGGGCCUCGUGUACCCUGGGCACCCUCACCGUGUCCUGUGCCCACAGGCACAAGACCCGGCUGCCGCUCCCGCUAAGCCAGUCCUUCUCCCCCGAGGCCCAGGCUGAGCGGAGCUUCCAUGUUUUUUAUGAGCUGCUGGCGGGGCUGGACCCCGUGGAACGAGAGCAGCUCUCCCUGCAGGGGCCAGAGACCUACUACUACCUCAACCAGGGCCGCGCCUGCAGGCUCCAGGACAAGGACGAUGCCCAGGACUUCACAGGACUGGUGAGGGCCCUGCAGGCGCUGGGCUUGUGCACCGAGGAGCUGACCGCCGUCUGGGCUGUGCUGGCCUCCGUCCUGCAGCUGGGCAACAUCUGCUUCUCCUCGUCAGAGAGGGAGUUCCAGGAGGUGGCCGCCGUGUCCAGCUGGGCCGAGAUCCAUGCUGCAGCCCGGCUGCUGCAGGUGCCGCCCGAGCGCCUGGAGGGAGCAGUCACUCGGAGGGUCACGGAGACGCCCUAUGGCCAGGUCUCGAGAUCCCUGCCCGUGGAAAGCGCCAUCGAUGCCAGGGACACCCUGGCCAAGGCCCUGUAUGCACGGCUCUUCACCUGGCUUCUGAGGAUGGCCAACGCGCAGCUGGCAUCCCCUGUGGAGGCAGGCAGCAUGGUUACCAUCACUGUCAUCGAUGUCUACGGCUUUGAGGUCACCCUGAGGAUGGUCCAUGAAACACUGCAGGCUCCAGUCUCAUGGAGCCUUGAGGUGGUGAAAGACCCCAGGAUUGCUGCCCUGGCCCCCCCACCUCAUGUGGGUGCCCACCUCACUGCUCACGUGCCCCCAGGCCCUGCGGGUCAACGGUCUGGAGCAGCUGUACAACAACCUGGGCAGCGAGCGCCUGCAGCUGUGGUGCAAUCGGCUGCUGCUGGCCCAGGAGGAGGAGGAGUGUCGGAGGGAGUUGCUACCCUGGGUGCCCAUCCCGCAGGCUCCACAGGAGUCCUGCCUGGACUUCCUGGUAGACCAGCCACACAGCCUCCUGAGUAUCCUGGAUGCCCAGACAUGGCUGUCCCAGGAGGGGGACCAUCGUGCCUGAGGGGCCAGGUGGUGCAGACUCUGCAGGCUGCAGGCCUGAGCAUCUCUUCCUUUCAUCAGGCCACGGACCACACCUUCCUGCAGAAGUGCCAUUAUCACCAUGGCGACCACCCGCGCUACACCAAGCCCCAGCUGCCCCUUCCCAUCUUCACCGUGCGACAUUAUGCCGGGCCUGUCACCUACCAGGUUCACAAGUUUCUAAACAGAAACCGGGAUCGUCUUGACCCUGCAGUGGUGGAGAUGCUUGCCCAGAGCCAGCUGCAGCUGGUGAGCUGCCUGUUCCAGGAAGCAGAGCCUGAUGAGUUUGGGGGAGGACGGGGCAAACCCACGCUGGCCGCUCGCUUCCAGAAGUCCCUGGGGGACCUCCUAGCCCAGCUGGGCAGGAGCCAUGUCUGCUUCAUCCAGUGCCUCAACCCCAAUCCAGGAAAGCUUCCAGGCCUCUUCGACGUGGAUCAUGUGGCAGAACAACUGCGCCAGGCGGGCAUCCUGGAGGCAGUGUGUACCCGCAGUGCCAACUUCCCCAUUCGCCUGCCCUUCCAGGCCUUCCUGGACAGGUUCCGGGCCCUGGGGACAGAGGAGCAGGGCGAGCUCUCUGACCGGGAAAGGUGUGGCAUCAUCCUGAACCAGGUGCUGGCAGCUGAGUCACCCCUCUGUCACCUGGGAGCCACCCAGGUACUGCUGCGGGAGCCGGGCUGGCAGCAGCUGGAGCAGUGCUGGGCCCAGCAGCACGCCCAGGCCCUGCUGACCCUGCACCGAGGCCUCCGCGUCUGCAUCUCCCACCAGCGCCUCCACCUCCUGCUGCGGAUGCAGGCUCGUGUGCGUGGGCUUCAGACCAGGAAGCGGUACCUCCGGCGGCGGGCAGCUCUGGAGCAGCUGAACACCAUCGUGCUGGCGGCCCGGCCCCUGCUCUGGAGACGGCGGAGACCACAGCUUGGGCGUCGGCACAUCUGGCACAGCGUCGGGGCCUUCGAGACGGUGCCAAGCAUGGAGCUGGGGCGCUUGGAGAUCCCAGCUGAGCUCUCUGUCAUGCUGAAGACAGCGGAAGGCCGUCAGCACGCCCGGGUCCAGAGCAUCACCGAGGCCAUGCCCCCGGAAGUUCCCGCCCGGCCCAGCCUGACCCUCCCGCCUGACAUCAACCAGUUCCCCUUCUCCAGCUUCAUCUCCAUCGGCUUUCAGGAGCCCUCCUUGCCCCACCCUGGACAGCUGCUGACCAAGCCCCUGACCCGGCUGGACGGUGAGAACCCUCAGCAUGCCCUGGAUAUCAACAAGGUGAUGCUGCGGCUGCUGGGGGACGGGUCGCUGGCGCCCUGGCAGGAGCAGACCAUGGGCCAGUACCUGGUGCGGCAGGGGCAGCGCCAGCCGGGGCUGCGAGAUGAGCUCUUCAGCCAGCUGGUGGCCCAGCUCUGGCGCAACCCCGACGAGCAGCAGAGCCAGCGCGGCUGGGCCCUCAUGGCCAUCCUGCUCAGUGCCUUCCCGCCGAUGCACACCCUGCAGAAGCCACUGCUCAAGUUUGUCUCCGACCAGGCCCCCAGGGGCAUGGCAGCGCUGUGCCAACACAAGCUGCUGGGGGCCCUGGAGCAGAUGCAGCUGGCCCCUGGGUCUGCCCGGGCCCACCCACCCACCCAGCUCGAGUGGACGGCCGGAUGGAGGCGGGGCCGCAUGGCGCUGGACGUGUCCACCUUCAAUGAGGAGUGCUACUCGGCCGAGGUGGAGUCCUGGACCACAGGGGAGCAGUUCGCCGGGUGGAUUCUACAGAGCAGAGGCCUGGACCCGCCCCCGCGUGGCUGGUCUGUGUCACUGCACUGCAGGGACUCCUGGAGAGACUUGGCCGGCUGUGACUUUGUGCUGGACUUGAUUGGCCAGACCGAGGACCCGGGGGACCCAGCCUGGCAUCACAGCUACCCCAUCGCCCCCCGUGGCCUAGCCGAGAAUAUCCCCCUGGCCCCCAGCAUCCAGGCCCCCUCACUGCCCCCAGGCCCACCUCCGGGUCCAGCCCCAACAUUGCCCAGCAGGGGGCUCACAGGUGAGUCCCGGACCUCAGGGAGUCUGGAUGGCUUCCUGGACCACCUCUUCAAGCCAGUCCUCUCCCCUGGCCUCAGCGAUCUGGAGCAAGGCAGGGCUCUGAGUGGCCGCAUGAAGGGAGGGGGUGCCAUGGGGCCCAUGCAGCAAGGCAGCUACCCCAUGGUGUACCCAGGGAUGGUGCAGAUGCCCAGCUACCAGCCAGCCAUGAUGCCAGCACCCAUGCCCAUGAUGCCAGCCAUGGGGCCGGUCCCAGGUAAGACUGGACUGUGGCCGCCCGCCAUGGUGGUACCACCACAGCCACAGCCCGUGCUUCCCAGUUUGGACGUGAGGCAGCUGGCGGCCCAGCAGCAGGACUUCAUCAACCAGCAAGCACGGAUCCUGGCCCAGCAGAUGACCACCCAGGCCAUGACCUUGUCCCUGGAGCAGCAGGCAAAGCAACUCCAGAAGCAGAGUCAGGCCCUGGCCCUGGCCCCAGCCCCAGCCCCAGCUGCAGCUCCAGCUCCACCCAAGACACCCACCCCCCAGAAGGAGCCAGAGAGUGGCCUGGAGUUGGUAGGUGCCCGCCUGAGGGAGGCCCCGCAGGAGGCUGAAGACAGGCACCCACGGCCCAGGAGCUUCCAACAGAAGCGAGACUAUUUCCAGAAGUUGGGGCAGCAGCCGAGCAAGGUGAAGACCAUGAAGCCUCCAGCCAAGGUUAAGAUCCCCCAGGCAGAGGUGCAGGACGAGGAGCCAGAAGAGGAGGAACAGAGAGCAGGUGGGCCCUCAGCUCCGCCUCCCCAGGUGGUGAAGAAGCCGCCACUGUCGCAAGGUGCAGCCAGAGCUGCACAGGAGGCCGAGGCUGAGCCAGCCACGGAGGUGGGGCCUGGCGGGGGGCACAGGCCGGCCGGGGGCAAAGCCGUGGUGCGUAGCUCGGACCCUGAGCCCUGGCGGGCAGAGCCCAGCAGGGAGAUCCGCAACAUCAUCCGCAUGUACCAGAGCCGCCCUGGCCCCGUGCCUGUGCCCGUGCAGCCGGCGAGGAAGCCCCCCCAAAGUUUCCUAAAGAAAAACAACCCUAAGGAUGAGGCUCUGGCUAAGCUGGGGAUCAGUGGUGCCUCCUCGCCCCCUCAGACGCUCCCCAGCCCAGGGAAGGCCCCCCCACCGGCCGUGGCCCCUCGACCCAGGGCCCGACCACGGCUGAUGCCGUCCAGCUCCAUCAAGGAGAAGCAGGGGCCCCUUCAAGAGCUGUUUGGCCAGAACCCACCCACUGCCCAGAAACCACCCCCUCCACCCGCACCUCCACUGCCUCCGCCCUGGGAGCCAGCGAGCCCUCCAGCUGAGCCCCGCAGCUUGGUGGAGCCCAUGGGGGACCAGGGGGUCUCCACCCAGCUGCUCGUGCCCUCAGGCAGCGUGUGCUUCUCCUAUGCCAGCGCCCCCUGGAGGCUGUUCCUGCGCAAGGAGGUGUUCUACCCCCGGGAGAGCUUCAGCCACCCCUACUGCCUCAGGCUCCUCUGUGAGCAGAUCCUGAGGGACACCUUUGCCGAGUCCUGCAUCCGCAUCUCCCAGGACGAGAGGCGCAAGAUGAAAGACCUGCUGGGAGACCUGGAGGUGGGCCUGGACUCACUGGAUACGGCUGAGGACGGCGUCAAGAAGCGCAUCGUGGUGGCCGCCAGGAACAACUGGGCCAAUUACUUCUCCCGCAUCUUCCCUGUCUCGGGCGAGAGCGGCAGCGAUGUGCAGCUGCUGGCUGUGUCCCACCGGGGGCUGAGACUGCUCAAGAUGACCCAGGGCCCCAGCCUGCACCCCGACCAGCUGAAGACUCUCUGCUCGUACAGCUUUGCUGAGGUGCUGGGCGUGGAGUGCCCGGCCAGCUCCACCCUGGAGCUGUCGCUGAAGAGUGAACAGCUGGUGCUGCACACGGCUCGGGCGGGAGCCAUCAAGGCCAUGGUCGAGCUCUUCCUGAGCGAGCUCAAGAAGGACUCUGGCUAUGUCAUUGCCCUGCGAAGCUACAUCACCGAUGACCACAGCCUCCUCAGCUUCCAACGUGGGGACCUCAUCAAGCUGCUGCCGGUGGCCACCCUGGAGCCAGGCUGGCAGUUCGGCUCCACGGGCGGCCGCUCCGGACUCUUCCCUGCUGACAUCGUGCAGCCGGCAGCUGCUCCAGACUCAUUCUUCUCAACGGAGCAGAGGAGCAGCCAGGGGCACAAGGGUCAGCUGCAGCGCAGAGAGUGGGAUAGGGCAUCGGAGGUGAGGAAGACGGGAGAAGCCGAGGCAAGGCCUCACUAGGAGCCUAGGAAAGGCCAGGCGCGCAGUGACAACUCGGCCACCAGCCUGUCCCCCUCUGUGGCCUACGUGGCCCUGCCCACGGACUCCGACUACACCAUGCAGGAGUUUGCCCUGCGCUACUUCCGGAAACCCCAGACCCUGCCGGCCCAGACCGGUGGAGAUGCUGAGAAGGCCACGGCCAGCCUGGUGCAGUACAGCAAGGCUCCCAUCCAGGAAUCGCUCAUCAGCUUCAGUGAUGAGGACACGAACAGGCAAGCUGUGGAGAGCUUCCAGGCUCUGAUGCAGUUUAUGGGGGACCAGUCCAAGCCACGGGGCAAGAAUGAGCUGGAUCUCCUCUAUGGGCUGCUGAAGCUUUGCCAGGAGAAGGAGGAUCUCAGGGAUGAGGUUUACUGCCAGGCCAUCAAGCAGGUCACAGGACACCCCCGGCCGAAACUCUGCGCGAGAGGCUGGCGCUUCCUCAGCCUCCUCACGGGCUGCGUCCCCCCAUCGAACACGCUGAUGCCCUACGUGACCAAGUUUCUGCAGGACUGGGGUCCUCACCAAGAGCUGGCCCAAAGCAGCCAAGAGCACCUGCAGCGCACAGUCAAGUAUGGGGGGCGCCGGCGGCUGCCCUCCCCAGGCGAGAUGCAGGCCUUCCUGAAAGGACAGGUAGUCCACCUGGUCCUAAUUCACUUGCCUGGGGGUGUGGAUUACAAGACCAAUAUCCGCACUUUCACGGUGGCAGCAGAGGUGCUGGAGGAGUUGUGCAGGCAGAUGGGCAUCACGGACCCCCAGGAAGUGCAGGAGUUUGCCCUCUUCCUCAUCAAAGGGGACGGUGAGCUGGUGCGGCCCCUGUGGCCCCAGGAGUACCUUAACAGCGUGCUCGGGGGUCUGGAUGUGAGCCUGCACAGCCGGCGGCUCGGCUGGGAGACCCGGCUGCACUUUGACAAUCCCACCUACAUCAGCACCCACUACGGCCAGGUGCUGCGGGACUACCUUCAGGGAAAGCUGGGGCUCAGCCCCCAGGAAGACGCCCGACUUGCCAGAUUGGCUGCCUUGCAGCAGCUCAGCAGGAGCACGGAGGAGCCCCCCUCAGAGCAAGACCUCUUGGCUUACGUGCCAAGGCAGCAACAGUGGCAGCAGCAAUGGCAGAUGAAUGUGGCCACUGUGAAGAGCCUGAUGGGCCGGGAACUGAGGCAGCUACAAGGAUGCAGCCCCCAGGAAGCGCAGAUCAGCUUCAUCAAGGCUGUGAGCGAGCUGCCCCUCUUCGGGUACACGGUUUACCUGGUGCUACGAGUGAGCAAUCCGGCCCUGCCCAGCCCCGGCCUCCUGGGGCUGAACCGCCAGCACCUCGUCCUCAUGGACCCCGGCUCCCAGGAACUGUGCUGCUCCAUCGCCCUGAGAGACCUGCAGCGGCUCCACUUGCUGAGCCCACUGGAGGCAGAGGGCUCCCCUGGCCUGGAACUCAACUACGGCUCAGCCGACAACCCCCAGACCAUCUGGUUUGAGCUUCCGCAGGCCCAGGAGCUGAAGCACACCAUCACCUUCCUGCUGGACGGCAACCCUCCUUCCAGUUAGUGGCCGCGCUACACCCAAGGCGGGAGCAGAGACGGAGACAGGACCCCUCCCCGGCCCACGUCUCACCUCGACAAUCUCCUCUGGGUGCCGUCAGGCCAGUCUGGUUUGGACUUCAGUGCUUGGCUGUCCUGGAAUCCACUGUAGCACGGCCCACAGUGGGGCUGCUACAGGGACUUCAACUGGGGAAGUGCUGCGAGCCUCAUUCUGGGGUGGGCCUGCAGUGGGGACUGCGGGAACUCGGCUUGGGUGUCGGGGGGUCACCCAGCCUCGGGGAGAUGCCCACCUGGGGCCUGGCCCCACAUCAGCACGUGCCCAGACCUGGGAGGAGCGGCUGCUGAAGAAAUAAAACCCCCAAGAGAACAGG
rnacentral:misc_RNA from 1 species